CUUUUUAGCAUUUAUUCAGUCUUAUUUUGUGAGUGACUUCUCUUUUUGUUUUAAUUAUGCUUUCUUUGGACUGUUUGGCUAUUCAAAAGAGAAUACCGGAAAAUAUUACAUAAUUCUGUUAGCUAAAUUUCACAUUCAUAGACAAAAGUUUGCUGGCUCUAAACCUCUCUUUUCUUAAGAUAAGUAUGUGGGAACUAUCCAAAGUUUUGUUAAUUUGAAAGCUGAAAACAUUAUCUUUAUAUUCGUCCUUUGUGUCUUCCUAUAUCUAAUUCUGUUACCUUGUUUUUGUUGUUGUUACCCCUUAACAAAUCUGUAUAUUCUUUUUUUUUUUGGUCUUUAUUUAUGAUUUUAAUUGUACUGCCUUAAUGUUUUUAUUGUUUAUUGCAAUGUUUGUCCUGUUUAAUAAAUAAAAAAGGGGGAUUUGGUUAAAUGAUUCAGAAGAUUCAUUAAUGCGAUUCGACUCAAACGAACGAUUCGCUUACGAAUCGGACAUUGCCAAGAGCGAGCGAGAGAGAGAGAGCAAGAGCAAGAGCAAGAGGAGGGGUAGAAGCACAUGAAAAACUGCGUAACCCACUGCUGGUUGAGAUAGACGGGGCAGAAAGGUUGCCUUUCUGGGUCGUAGGCGCUUUGCUGGAGCUUUGCUGUACUUUUAUGCGAAACGACAGCGGAUUUAGAAGACCUGCCGAGCAACAGUUACUGAAAGCGUGAUGGGGAAGGAACAGAGAAAAAUAUAUGUGCUGAAAUUUAGGAAGUAGAUACACUACCGUUCUAAAGUUUGAGGUCAGAAUAUUUUUGCAGUUUUUUUUUUUUUUUUUGAAAAAUCUCUUAUGCUCACAUUUAUUUGAUCAGUAUACAGUUAAAACUGUAAUAUUUCGGCAUAUUAUUACAAUUUAGUGUUUUCUCUAUUUAAAUUAAUUUAUUUCUUAAACAAAGCUAAUUUUUCAACAUGAACCUUUAGAAAUUCUAAUAUGCUGAUUUGGUGCUGCAUUGCACUGCUUAAUAUUUUUGUGUAAACCAUGAUUUUUCAGAAUUCUUUGAUAAAUAGAAUACAACAGAACAACAUUUAUUUGAAAUAGAAACCUUUUGUAACAUUAUUAAUGUCUUGAAUGCAUCCUUGCUGAAUAAAAGUAUUUAUAAACAAAAUAAAUAAAUAAAUAAAUCAUAUCAGUGGUGUUUGUGAGAGAUUAUUUUUAUAGACACGCUGAUUUUUCCAGGAUCCAUAUUAUGCACUAAUUUUGCACACACAUUAUUUUGAACACCCAAAUUGAAGAUUUAAUACCAAUUAAAUCAGUUUACUCUGCUUGUUACAUCUUGUUUAAUCUUCCCUUGAAUUUUAAGAAUUUUUUUUUAACCUGCAGACUUUUUUGACAUUUAUUUACCCUUAAAGAGCGAGUGCUGCAGAUGACGAGUAAUAUUACUGAGGCAGAAUUGAAGUUCAGAUGAUUAAAACAGAGCAGUAAGGAGCAGGAAACAUUCUGAGAGCUUCCCAUAACAACAAACUGAUUGACUGAAUGGAGACCUGAAUCAGUGAAGUGAAACUAAGUUUAGACUGACAACACAGCAGGGAUGUGGAGAGUAUUUAGAGAUCUAGGUGAAUUAUGUGGCUUUAAAUAUAUACAUAUAGAUGUGGCCUGAAUAUUUGUAUAAAUAUGAACUUGUGUAUGUGAACUUGUGUAUCAAUAUUGAACUUGUAGAAUCAUGGUGAAAUAUUUCCUAGUAAUGAAUAUUGAUUGUUCUGAGCUUGCAUCUAGAUUUUACGCUUCAUUUCAAUGUCAUGGUUGUGAAAUGAGCAUUUAUAAGAAAUGUUUGUGAGAAGGUGGUGGCUGGAGGAGGGGCGGCAGAUGUCAAAGUUCAGGACAGAGUCCUGAUUAGCUUAUCUGACUGUCAGGUUCAUACAGUGGUCAGUUUACCUAAACUGCAGGUGACCUAAUGAAGCUACUUUGAAUAUCUUCCUGUCAUCCAGAACAAUAUCUAUCUGUCUGUCUGUCAGUCAGGGCACUUUUAUCUGCUCUCGUUUCAUUUCUGUAUGCAUCAGUGUGCAUUUGGACAAUGUUUUAGAUCUGUUCCAGUUGACUUGAGUGAGUAAAUCUCUCCUGACUGCUCACUGUCCACCAUGCUGUGUCUGUUUGUUUCUGCCUCUCUCACUCUUUCUGUUUUCUCCCUGAGAAUAAAUCACUGAUCGAGAGGCUGGCCAUAAAGCUAGUGCGAGAGCAGAGAGAAGAGUGUUUCUGCCCCGCUUAAGCCUAUUACAGGCUUAGCGAACCAAGCAGUGCCCCUUUAGCACAUAGAAAAAGAGAAUGAAAGACAGUGAGAGACAGAUGUUUAGUUAUUCAUCUGAGAGUAGUAAAAAGGUAAAAACACUCCAUUAAGCUGACAGCUCAGAGCUCAGAAUAAUUAUCAUGUAUAAACAACACUAUAUAAUACCUUAUACUCCUAUAUGAUAGGUCUGUGUGAUAGACGGAUUCAAAGUUGUUCUUGGAUAAUCUUCCACUCCAGUGGGCUGGCGUAGGAUUCAUAAAUGCAAAAUCAUUUAUGCGUAAAAUAAUCUUUUAUAGACCAAGGCCGUAACCAUGUCUUGAACACUGGGGGGAAUGUGUGUGUGUUCGCACACAGAAACAUUCAGGAGCACAGAAACUUACUGUCGAUGCUGCCCCACGAAUAUAAUAGUUAAUAAAUAGUUAAUAAAAUAGCUUAAAAUAGGUAAAAGAGCUGUUUUUGAAUUUUUGAACUUUUUGAUUAUAAAUGGAUAUGUAUAUUUUUAAAGCAUUUAAACAUAUAUAUUGCCCUUCAUAUAUUUAAAUCCAAGAAAUUCUGGAUUAAAAAUUGCCCCAUGGGACAAGAAUAAUUUGUUCAUGAAUCGAACAUCACA
rnacentral:lncRNA from 1 species